AAAUGCCGCUUCUAGAACAGUAAUUGUGUCGGAUGAUGUCAAAUAAAGCUCCAAUUCUCUGAAUUAAUAAAGACUGCUGAUAAAUUGCAUUCCUCUUAAAAUUACUGAUAAGAACCACUAUAAGAAUACUGGUUUUCGAGUGUGAGUUCAGUCUUGCGCCGACGAUACAACAAUGUUGUUCAACAAAGCUGCCUCCCUUUUGAUCCUGCUGAUCAUUUUCACAUUAUGGGAUCACCAGAGCGGUCUAGUGGAGGCAAAACCCUUCAGCUAUUGCCGUGAAUGCGACAGCGUGCCAUAUUACUUAGAUCCCAGCUAUAUUAGAAGCGCUAACGCUAAUAUUAACAUUAACAUUAAUAAGAAUUUGAAUGGGCAUCUGUGUAAACCUUCAGAUAACAGCAACUGUGACUACUUACUAGGGACUGGGUAAAGCGAUCAAUGAACUGUCAUUUUAUAUCUAGUUUUAAGAUCAAAUUUCUGGAGCAUUAGAGUAAGGCCUGAGUGGACGCUCGAAGUGGAGCGUUUGGCGGGGCGUGCAGCGUGGCGUCGGGCUCACAAAUGAUUUAAGCAGCGUGCACUAAGGCCGCUCCUAUACGUUUGCAUUUGUUUAACAUGCACGCUGCACGCCCCGCCGCGCUGCACGCCCAACUCGAGCGUCCACGCAGGCUUUCCACUUAACAACAAGCAACUGUUCAGGUCAUUUUAGAUCUAUGUAUGUAUUCGUUUAUUAAAAACUUUUAUAAACAAUGUAUUUUUUAUUCCCUUGUCUUAUCUUCAUAGACGUAUUAGAACUUUAAAAAGCUCAUCUUGUUUUGAUAUUAGGGGGGCGAGGGCAUGUGUCAAUAAAUUUUACAUUUCAA